UACGUAGGCAGCGAGCGUUGUUCGGAAUUACUGGGCGUAAAGAGUGUGUAGGCGGUGCUCCCAGUCUGUUGUGAAAUCUCCCGGCUUAACUGGGAGGGUGCAGCGGAAACUAGAGUGCUAGAGGGUGGGAGAGGUAAGCGGAAUUCCUGGUGUAGCGGUGAAAUGCGUAGAUAUCCGGAGGAACACCAAAGGCGAAGGCAGUGUCCUGGGGAGUACCUGACGCUCAGGUGCGAAAGCCAGGGGAGCGAACGGG
rnacentral:rRNA from 1 species